GGAGGCGUCAGGGUGCCUGGUGGCCCCCACGGUCUUCAAAACCGAUGAGACCGAGCAUCUCGGUCUGGCGGGUUCGAUUCCCGUCCGCCUCCGCCA
rnacentral:tRNA from 1 species